GAUGAACGCUGGCGGCGUGCCUAAUACAUGCAAGUCGAGCGAACGGACGAGAAGCUUGCUUCUCUGAUGUUAGCGGCGGACGGGUGAGUAACACGUGGAUAACCUACCUAUAAGACUGGGAUAACUUCGGGAAACCGGAGCUAAUACCGGAUAAUAUUUUGAACCGCAUGGUUCAAAAGUGAAAGACGGCCUUGCUGUCACUUAUAGAUGGAUCCGCGCUGCAUUAGCUAGUUGGUAAGGUAACGGCUUACCAAGGCAACGAUGCAUAGCCGACCUGAGAGGGUGAUCGGCCACACUGGAACUGAGACACGGUCCAGACUCCUACGGGAGGCAGCAGUAGGGAAUCUUCCGCAAAGGGCGAAAGCCUGACGGAGCAACGCCGCGUGAGUGAUGAAGGUCUUCGGAUCGUAAAACUCUGUUAUUAGGGAAGAACAUAUGUGUAAGUAACUGUGCACAUCUUGACGGUACCUAAUCAGAAAGCCACGGCUAACUACGUG
rnacentral:rRNA from 1 species